rnacentral:rRNA from 1 species
CUACGGGCGGCAGGAGCAGGGAAUAUUGCACAAUGGACGGAAGUCUGAUGCAGCGACGCCGCGUGGAUGAUGAAGGCCCUCGGGUUGUAAAAUCCUUUUCAGGGGGACGAGGAAGGACGGUACCCUUGGAAUAAGCGUCGGCUAACUACGUGCCAGCAGCCGCGGUAAGACGUAGGACGCAAGCGUUAUCCGGAUUUACGGGGCGUAAAGCGUCUGUAGGCGGAAUGGUAAGUUGGACGUGAAAGCUCCGGGCUCAACCCGGAGAGGUCGUUCAAUACUGCCAAACUAGAGGGCAUCAGAGGAGCGUGGAAUUUCCGGUGUAGCGGUAAAAUGCGCAGAUAUCGGAAGGAACACCAAUGGCGAAGGCAGCGCUCUGGGAUGAACCUGACGCUAAGAGACGAAAGCUAGGGGAGCGAACAGGAUUAGAUACCCCGGUAGUC